AUCUUUCUAGUAUUAGCUCUAGUAUGCGUGACUUCCAAUCACUCGGUCUUGGUUCAAACCCAAGGAAAGAUA
rnacentral:tRNA from 1 species